rnacentral:lncRNA from 1 species
GCAGAGAGAUGGACUUAGGAAAAAACAAAGAUAAGUUUAGCUUUAGUCAUGUGGUAAAAUGUCUCAAGUGAAGUGAAAAAUAAAACAUCUGAGUAGAAGAGUCUUUACAGAAACUAGGUGUAUGGAAGUCAAGUAUAGCGACGGAAAUCAGGAUAAGGAAACAGAUCUGGAACUCUUCAGUGGGCUAAAUUUGAUCUCUAAAGCUAUGAGAAUUAAUGUCUCCCUUGAGAAAAAACAUAGGCAGAAAACAUGAGGCUAGGUCUCCCCACUUCUGCGUGGGAUGUUUUUAAACUCACAGCACUUUUGAGUUUGCCCUUUAA